rnacentral:rRNA from 1 species
CCUACGGGGUGCAGCAGUAGGGAAUCUUCCACAAUGGGCGAAAGCCUGAUGGAGCAACGCCGCGUGGGUGAAGAAGGUCUUCGGAUCGUAAAACCCUGUUGUUAGAGAAGAAAGUGCGUGAGAGUAACUGUUCACGUUUCGACGGUAUCUAACCAGAAAGCCACGGCUAACUACGUGCCAGCAGCCGCGGUAAUACGUAGGUGGCAAGCGUUAUCCGGAUUUAUUGGGCGUAAAGAGAACGCAGGCGGUCUUUUAAGUCUGAUGUGAAAGCCUUCGGCUUAACCGGAGUAGUGCAUUGGAAACUGGGAGACGUGAGUGCAGAAGAGGAGAGUGGAACUCCAUGUGUAGCGGUGAAAUGCGUAGAUAUAUGGAAGAACACCAGUGGCGAAAGCGGCUCUCUGGUCUGUAACUGACGCUGAGGUUCGAAAGCGUGGGUAGCAAACAGGAUUAGAUACCCUUGUAGUC